rnacentral:rRNA from 1 species
AACGUAGGAGACAAACGUUAUCCGGAGUUACUGGGCGUAAAGGGCGUGUAGGCGGUUCGUUAAGUCUGGCGUGAAAGCUCUCGGCUAAACCGGGAGAGGUCGUUGGAUACUGGCAAACUAGAGGACGGUAGAGGCGUGUGGAAUUCCGGGUGUAGUGGUGAAAUGCGCAGAUAUCAGGAGGAACACCGGUGGCGAAGGCGGAUCUCUGGGCCUUACCUGACGCUGAGGCGCGAAAGCUAGGGGAGCGAACAGG